CCUACGUGUGGCAGCAGUGAGGAAUAUUGGUCAAUGGGCGCGAGCCUGAACCAGCCAAGUCGCGUGAGGGAAGACGGUCCUAUGGAUUGUAAACCUCUUUUGUCGGGGAGCAAAAGACGCCACGCGUGGCGUUCCGAGAGUACCCGAAGAAAAAGCAUCGGCUAACUCCGUGCCAGCAGCCGCGGUAAUACGGAGGAUGCGAGCGUUAUCCGGAUUUAUUGGGUUUAAAGGGUGCGUAGGCGGAAUAUCAAGUCAGCGGUAAAAAUUCGAGGCUCAACCCCGUCGUGCCGUUGAACCUGAUGGUCUUGAGUGGGCGAGAAGUAUGCGGAAUGCGUGGUGUAGCGGUGAAAUGCUUAGAUAUCACGAAGAACUCCGAUUGCGAAGGCAGCCUACUAAACUGCCACUGACAUUGAUGCUCGAAAGUGUGGGUAUCAAACAGGAUUAGAUACCCCAGUAGUC
rnacentral:rRNA from 1 species